CCUACGGGAGGCUGCAGUGGGGAAUAUUGGACAAUGGCGGAAACGCUGAUCCAGCGACGCCGCGUGAGGGAAGAAGUAUUUCGGUAUGUAAAGCCCUAUCAGCAGGGGAGAAAAUGACGGUACCUGACUAAGAAGCCCCGGCUAACUACGUGCCAGCAGCCGAGGUACUACGUAGGGGGCAGGCGUUAUCCGGAUGUACUGGGUGUAAGGGGAGCGUAGACGGUGCAGCAAGUGUGAGGGGAAAGGUCGGGGCCAAACCCCGGGCCUGCAUUAGAAACUGUUUAACUGGAGUACAGGAGAGGUAAGCGAAAUGCGUAGUGGAGCGGUGAAACGUGUAGAUAAUAGGAGGAAC
rnacentral:rRNA from 1 species